CAAGGGACAUAAGGCAAGCUUGCCUUCUGACAAUAGCAUUACAAGGUCAUUUUUCUAGUUAAGAUUUAACAGUAUUUGUGUUUUCUGUGCUGCUUAAUUAAUUAAGCAACUGUGAUGGUGCUCAGGCUGCAGAUCAAGUCCAGCAAACAGGAAAGAAAGUGAAUCAUGACUGGACUAUUAACUCAAAUGAGAGUCAUGAGGUGUUCUAAGCCUAUUUUCUAUUGGAGUUUUGGGCUUUGAAACUCAUGUUGAAUCAGAGCAAGGUUGAACUGUAAAUUACAGCCUGAUUCAGGUAAUUUUGAUUGCUGUAUAGAAAUUCCUAAAUCAAUUAAUGCUAUUACAGGUAGACAGAACAGCUAGAUCAUAUUCCUACAUUUUCAGAUGUUGCCAAAGGUGUGGAUAGAAAAGCUGUAGUUAGAAACUGCAGAGUGACUUGGAAACUGCAGGCAGCCAAGAAACUCCUUGUGACAAGAACAACCUCCUUUGUUCCAAAUAACCUCAGAAGGGGCCACAGGUACAAGCAGAACUCUGCAUGGAGCUGAUUAGCUCCCAUGUCAGUGGAGUUUAAUCGGACUGAAAGAGUGUGGGCACAGUCAGGGAGAGGAAGCCAAGCCUGGCGAGGAGGAGGAUGAGGAGGUGUGGGAGGAUGGAGACAGCGGCCACCAAAGGCUGGGGAAGGCCCAGCUCCAGCCCUUUGCUUCCCAGAGGUGUGCUUUAGGAAAGCCCCUC